rnacentral:rRNA from 1 species
GUGCCCCUUAGUCUGGGAUAGCCACUGGNAACGGUGAUUAAUACCGGAUACUCCUUNUUCAUCUUAAGAUGNANUUUGGGAAAUGUUUUUCGCUAAGGGAUCGGCCUACAUCGCAUCAGCUAGUUGGUGAGGUAANGAGCUCACCAAGGCAAUGACGCGUAGCGGGUUUGAGAGGAUGAUCCGCCACACUGGUACUGAGACACGGACCAGACUCCUACGGGAGGCAGCAGUGAGGAAUAUUGCACAAUGGGGGCAACCCUGAUGCAGCAACGCCGCGUGGAGGAUGACGCAUUUCGGUGUGUAAACUCCUUUUAUCAGAGAAGAUAAUGACGGUAUCUGAUGAAUAAGCUCCGGCUAACUCCGUGCCAGCAGCCGCGGUAAUACGGAGGGAGCAAGCGUUACUCGGAAUCACCGGGCGUAAAGGACGCGUAGGCCGGUUUGUAAGUCAGGUGUGAAAUCCAAUGGCUCAACCAUUGAACUGCACUUGAAACUGCGAACCUAGAGUAUGGGAGGGGGAGGUGGAAUUAGUGGUGUAGGGGUAAAAUCCGUAGAUAUCACUAGGAAUACCGAAAGCGAAGGCGACCUGCUGGGACAUUACUGACGCUGAGGCGUGAAAGCGUGGGGGAGCAAACAGGAUUAGAUACCCUGGUAGUCCACGCCCUAAACGAUGAAUGCUAGUCGUCGGGGAGCUUGUCUCUUCGGUGAUGCACUUAACAGAUUAAGCAUUCCGCCUGGGGAGUACGGUCGCAAGAUUAAAACUCAAAGGAAUAGACGGGGACCCGCACAAGUGGUGGAGCAUGUGGUUUAAUUCGAAGAUACGCGAAGAACCUUACCUAGCCUUGACAUUG